GCCAGCGUGGCGUAGUGGUUUGAGCAUUGGACUACAACUCUGGAGGCCAGGGUUCGAAUCCCACCUCGGCCA